CAUCCGGAAAUGGUAGCAAGUUCCUCGGUAUUUAUCGUGGAUGCGCGGGCUUCGCGUGGCAGAGCCUGGGUCCCUCGCACGGCCGGUUUGCUUUCCACCGCAAGAAUAGCGUACCAGUGGGACGUUGGCGCGACCCUCUGUCUCGCACAAGUGGUCGCUAGUGUACCGAAGCAUAGCGCUCGGGGCCGGGCCUGCGGCACGGCAGCAGCAAGGCUUAUGGCGAUGCAGGCGGGCGCUCACCCGGCGUGCCUGGCGGGCGCCGGGCGCAGCGGCCUCUUCUCGCGCGGCAGCGUCGGCAGGACGACCCCUCCUGGCCGAGGCGGUGCCACCAGUGUUCGCGCCGUUGACGGAGCUUCCGCUGCGGCCGCUGUCGCCGCGGCUGCCGAUGCCCCGCUCCCGCCCGCGCAGGUCACCUGGCAGAUUGUCGUCGGUGCCGUAGCUGGAGUGACGCCUUUCGUCGUCGCAGGGGUCGAGUUCGGCAAAAGAAUCAUCGCGCAAAAGAAAUGUGAAGUCUGUGGAGGCUCUGGCCUUGUAGCGAAGAACGAUUAUUACGUCCGAUGCCAAGGGUGUGGUGCCACAUGAAUAUCUUAAUUUUUAAGGAGAACUUCACUUUCUAUAGAACAAUAUUCCUCUCUAUAUUCCAAUUGUUGCUUAGAGCUCGAUGAACCGAAAAUUGGACAUUCUAAUGUGGUUUUCUUCCAUGGCAGUCUUGGAGAAGAUUUUUCACAGGCUAAAAGUGGUAUCUAGCACCAUACACUGUAAGUGAAGAUGGACGAGGAUGGAGAAAAACCUGUAAGAUGUGAAAUGAUCAGCAUUAUGUACGAGUGCCCGUUUCACUCAACCAAAACUUAAUGUAUACCGUAGAGUUGCUCGUGCAUAUUGCCAUAUUGUCGAUUUACAGAUAGCCAA